ACCUCCCUGUUGUGACCUGUCUAUAUAACACGCCCACACACUUGCCACAACCGGUGGGAGCCAAUUAUCAGAAUUUACCUUUCAAUGCAGACCCAGGUACACGCGUGCACAGAGGCUCUGAGGAUCGUGGGAGAUUGCUGCUCUGAACCGUGGAAUCCCUCAUCGGGAGGCCCAAUAUUGACAGGGAGCUUUUUUACACCUCUUUGAUACGUUUGUUUACUGUUUGGCGUUGAUGAAACUUGUGGAAACAAGUCUUACUUUGGUGAAAUCCAUACAUUCACAUGAAAAUAUGCACAGUUGCAAACUUAUGUCCGUGCUUGACAGUAAAAGUGACUCAUCUAUAAUGGUCAGCGAUGCAUAACGUAUGAAGUGCUAUAUUUGGUCCAAGUCAGUCAUCCUCACACCACUCUAAACUGAGCGUAAAUGAUCAUUUAUUUAGCUUGGACACCCCUUGAUAACCCAUGUCAAAGAUGCACAUGUCAGGUGCUUCAUCUUCAACACAUUCUUAAAUUAUAACAGCUUUACAAAUCGCCGCCCGCUCAGCAAGUGACAAGCUCGUCACCCGAGAUGCAAGAAGAGGAGGCGGGAUGAAGGAAUGCGCGGCACAGAGAAAAAACAGCAAGGGGAGUGAGGUGAUAUGGUAAGUGUGUGGGUGUAUAGAUUUCCCGCUGGGCAUGGCAGCUUCUCACAGAGCGUUGCCUCACAACAUGUGACACGCAAGGCACACGCUCGGCUGUACACAUGAACUCACGUAAACUUAAGGCCGGGGAGUGUCAAAAUACAGACUCCUGCUUAAUGGAGAUACUUUAUACCAGAGGUGUCAAACUUAUUCCACCAAGGCCUGUAUACUGAAAAUCAGAAAGGGGGCCACUGAGAUUGAUUUUUAUAUAUCGUUUUUAAUUUUUUUAAGUCUUUUUACAUUUUCCUCUAUUUUUCACUUUUGUUUUUGUUGAAUUUUUACAAUGUGCCGUGGGCCAAUGAAAAACAAGCUGCGUAAUUCAACUGGCCCCGGGCCAGAAUUUGCACACCCCUGCUUACGGGUCACGGAUGAGCUAGAACCUAUCCCAGCUGACUUCAGGCAAGAGGUGGGGUACACCCUGGACUGGUCGCCAGGCUGUGUGCAGUGAAUACGGGGGUCAUACUACAGUAUAUGCACUGUAAGCUAACUUUGGUGCCAUCUGCAUUUCCAUGGUUGCAGAAUGGAAAAGGCUCCAGAAGAAACCAUGGGCCCGUGUGGCUGGUAGAAACUCAACUACCGUCUAUUAUCUAUCUUUGGCCACUCAGGUGAGCAUCUAGAGACGUGUGUAGGCCACUGCAUCCCAGACGUUGCCAGAUGUUUGAAGGAUACAUGUAUUUUCAGCUCUUGGUAUCGUUUUAGGAUGUUAACCUGCAAACACAGUGUUAGUGCAUUCCAGAUGACUAACAUAGUCAAAGCAAUUUGGAAUUAUACCUUGUCUGACCCCUGACCCCAUGGCCUGUGUGCUUUCCUCCCAUGCUCCUCUGAGGCUCCAUCCACCUCCACAUGCUCAUUAAAUUGAAUCAAGGGUUGACGUUCUUCAACAAGGGGACGCCAAAAGGACUGCAAAAGGACUUCAGAUGAUUUUAGUAUUUUAAAUAAAUUGAUUAACUAUUACCUUUUUGUUCAGCAGAAGUCUGAUAUUCCGCUUCAUGUUUUGUUUAGUCUUCUCUUUUUGGGGAAACAUGUUUCCCUCUGCCUCCUCCGAGCAAUCGGGGGUCAUCGGGGAUGAGGCUGGAAUAUCAGGAUGAUCAUCAUCUUCUGAAGACCCAGUCAACUCUAAAAAGUUAUCCAUGUCUUCUGGCAUCUCAGUGUGGCUGACGAGCACUGACAGUGUAGGUCCACCUCAACUGUGGACAAGACAGAACUGCAAGCAUGUUUCUGACACUUUCUACAUAAUGGGCUCCACACACAGGAGACGACAAACGACCGCGAAACUCCGUGCCAACGCGUAGCAAACCCUGCACACGGGAGGCGACGAGCGGCUAUGGCCAGGGUUUAUCUUGAAAGGGGCUCUGUAAAUCCAAUCCAUUAAUAUUCUUAUUGGUGACAGCCUGGAUCCAUCAUCAUAUUCUAAGAAGCUAUGAUGAGCUGGCAUUAUUGUCCUACAUGAAAGGGACUGAUUGCAAAUGGCUCAAGAUUCUAUUUUUUUUCAACGCCAAAAAGUGGUUUAAAAGUUUAUGGUUUAAUAGUUUGUACAAAAUUCACAAUGACACAUUAAAGUCAUAAAAAAUUGUCGUUCGGCCCAAAUAACAUGAUUGGUCACUGACAGCUGGCUGCUAUUCUCAUGGAUUGUCAUAGCGUCCACACACACAAAAGCCGUCUCAGAGAGGCGAUCAACAAUUUGCAGCCUUGCUAUAGGCUAUGCAUUCAAUGAUAGCUGACAUACGUCGGGCGUAGCUUACGUACUCAAAGCAGGAAGAGGGCGAGAAAUAAUGCUUGCAGUUGGUUGGAGCUCUCCAGGCAGCUACGGUCCCUUUAAGUCACUAUAUUCCAAACACAAAUUGGCAUGCAGUUUCCUGAAAUGAACGCAAGGGUACUAAUUUACAAUCACCACAUCAUAUAGUAAGUAUAAGUCGCCAUUCUUGUCUUUGAUAUCGUUUAAUGCUGACAUUACGUCUAUGAAAGUGCAGCAUCACAAAGCAGUUCUUGAGGACAGUCACCUGCUAUCAAAGAGGGUUAUGUGAGGUUAAAACAAAGUUUGUUUGCUGUACUCGUGCAGUUUGUUUGGCCAAAACAGGCGGACUGAGGUUUGGUCUCCGGUGGUCUCAGUCUGAUGUCACCAAACACGAGGGAAGCAAGUGGAUGGUUGAGUGAAAAUCUAAAAAAAAUAAGUUACAGUGGUGAUUUCUUUUUUUUUUUUGCAUUUUAAAUGUUUCAGA